rnacentral:rRNA from 1 species
UACGGGGGGGGCAAGCGUUGUUCGGAAUUACUGGGCGUAAAGGGCUCGUAGGCGGCCAACUAAGUCGGAUGUGAAAUCCCCAGGCUUAACCUGGGAACUGCAUCCGAUACUGGAUGGCUUGAAUCCGGGAGAGGGAUGCAGAAUUCCAGGUGUAGCGGUGAAAUGCGUAGAUAUCUGGAGGAAUACCGAUGGCGAAGGCAGGUCUCUGGGCUGACACUGACGCUCAUGCACGAAAGCGUGGGGAGCAAACAGG